GCCAGGAAGGAGGAGGCAGCCAGACUGGCCACCACUGUUCUCUGCAGCAGAAGACCCCCUGCUGCCCUGUGGAACCCAGCAUUUGCCAGGGAUGGCGUGAGGUGUGAAGAGUGCAGGUUCUUAGGAAUGAGACAAAGACUGAGGUGACCCAAACUUCCCCCUCCCACAUACCUGAUUAGUGCAGAGGCUUGCAAUAGGACAGGACAGAAAGAAUCAGAGGAGGACCUGGAAGACACACAUUUUUGUGUGAAUGACUGUACGUGUAAUCAUUUUAAACAUUAAAAUGGGGACUGGAUCCCUCGAAAAUGGAGAGUGCAAAUUAAAUAUACUGCUAUUUUAUUUUA